UGCCCUGUCGUCUAAUUGGUAGGACACAAGAUUCUGGUUCUUGCGAUUAUGGUUCGAGUCCAUACGGGGCAGCUA
rnacentral:tRNA from 1 species